AACGCACAUUGCACCCGGCGGUAAUCCGCCGGGUAUGCCUGUCCGAGCGUCAUCUCAACCCUCGGGUCCAGCGGACCCGGCGUUGGGGACCUGCGGCGCCCAGCGCCGCAGCCCCCUAAAUACAGUGGCGGGCCCGCUGUUGGAAUCCCCUGCGCAGUAGCUCCAGCAUCUCGCAUCGGGUUCCGGCGGUGCCCGGCCGUCAAAAGCCCCCAAGUCUUGUCAGGUUGACCUCGGAUCAGGUAGGGAUACCCGCUGAACUUAA
rnacentral:misc_RNA from 1 species